CAAGAACCACUACUUAUCCUCCCUCACCUUCUAUUUCCACAAGAAAUCCUAAGAAAAUUACUCCUUCUCCUCCUUCGGUUGAUAAAUCAUUGGCACAAGAGCCAAAGCAAUGGAACUUUUUACAGAGAGCUGCAGCUUUGGCCUUAGAUGUUGUGGAGACUGCUUUAGUUUUACAUGAACGUCGAUACCCUCUUCCCAAAACUGCUAACCCAACGGUCCAAAUCUCCGGCAACUUCGCUCCCGUGCCGGAGCAACCCGUUGUACAUAAUUUGCCUGUUGCCGGUAAAAUCCCAGACAGCAUUCGAGGUGUUUAUCUUCGAAACGGCGCAAACCCGCUUCACGAAUCCAGGAGCCGGUGGCUGGACACCACUUUUUUGACGGUGAUGGGAUGGUUCAUGCUGUCCGGUUUGAUGCUGUCCGCUUUGAGAACGGGUCUGUCAGCUAUGCUUGUCGGUUCACGGAGACAAACAGGCUUGUUCAAGAGAGAAAAUUGGGACGCCCCGUUUUCCCAAAGGCCAUCGGCGAACUCCAUGGCCACUCCGGGAUAGCUAGGCUGUUGCUUUUUUGUGCUCGUGGCCUUUUUGGGAUCGUUGAUCCUAGCCAUGGGACGGGUGUUGCUAACGCUGGGUUGGUAUACUUUAAUGGUCGUCUUCUUGCCAUGUCUGAAGAUGA
rnacentral:misc_RNA from 1 species